AAAGGNGCCAACCACCAUCUGCUAAGUGUGC
rnacentral:piRNA from 1 species